rnacentral:rRNA from 1 species
CAGCAGCCGCGGUAAUACGAAGGGUGCAAGCGUUACUCGGAAUUACUGGGCGUAAAGCGUGCGAAGGUGGUGGUUUAAGUCCGUUGUGAAAGCCCUGGGCUCAACCUGGGAAUUGCAGUGGAUACUGGGUCACUAGAGUGUGGUAGAGGAUAGUGGAAUUUCCGGUGUAGCAGUGAAAUGCGUAGAGAUCGGAAGGAACAUCUGUGGCGAAGGCGACUAUCUGGGCCAACACUGACACUGAGGCACGAAAGCGUGGGGAGCAAACAGGAUUAGAUACCCCCGUAGUCCCUGUCUCUUAUAA